rnacentral:rRNA from 1 species
UCCAGCAGCCAUAUCACCCUGCAACUCACAACUGGCAGCCCACUGAAGCUAAGCGGGUGUGAGCCUGGUUAGUACCUGGAUAGUAGACCUCCUGGGAAAAACUAAGGUUGCUGCUGAAA